rnacentral:SRP_RNA from 1 species
GCUGGGUGCAGUGGCACAUGCCUGUGGUCCCAGCUUCUUGGGAGCCUGAGGCAGGAGGAUCGCUUGAGGCUGGGAGUUCUGGGCUGUAGUGUGCAAUGCUGAUUGGGUGUCCACUCUUAAGUUCGGCAUCAAUAUGGGGACUACACCAGGUUGCCUAAGGAGGGGUGAACCAGUCCAGGUUGGAAAUGGAGCAGGUCAAAACUCCCUUCCUGUUUGAAGUGGGAUUGGGCCUGUAACUAGCCACUGUACUCAAGCCUGGGCAACAUAGCAAGACCUCAUCUCUA